UACGUAGGGUGCGAGCGUUAAUCGGAAUUACUGGGCGUAAAGCGUGCGCAGGCGGUCUGUUAAGACCGAUGUGAAAUCCCCGGGCUUAACCUGGGAACUGCAUUGGUGACUGGCAGGCUUUGAGUGUGGCAGAGGGGGGGUAGAAUUCCACGUGUAGCAGUGAAAUGCGUAGAGUAUGUGGAGGAAUACCGAUGGCGAAGGCAGCCCCCUGGGAUAACACUGACGCUCAUGCACGAAAGCGUGGGGAGCAAACAGG
rnacentral:rRNA from 1 species